rnacentral:rRNA from 1 species
AAUGAACGCUGGCGGCGUGCUUUACACAUGCAAGUCGAGCGGAGUCCGACCCAAGGGGCAACCCGAGGGACGGGCUCAGCGGCAAACGGGUGAGUAAUGGACAGGUAACGUACCCCCUAGACGUGGAUAGCUCAUCGAAAGAUGAGAUAAUACGCGAUAAUGUUGCAGGGCGAUGGCUCUGCAAAGAAAGCGGGCGCAAGCUCGCGCUUCCGGAUCGGCCUGUCUCCUAUCAGCUUGUUGGUGGGGUAAGAGCCUACCAAGGCGAUGACGGGUAGCUGGUCUUAGAGGAUGGUCAGCCACAUUGGAACUGCGACACGGUCCAGACUCCUACGGGAGGCAGCAGUGGGGAAUCAUGGUCAAUGGGCGAAAGCCUGAACCUGCGACGCCGCGUGAGUGAUGAAGGUCGUAAGAUCGUAAAACUCUUUUCAGGGACAUUAACGCUCCGGCUCUAACAUAGCCUGGAGUCUGACUCUCCCUGGAAUAAGCCCCAGCCAACUACGUGCCAGCAGCUGCGGUAAUACGUAGGGGGCGAGCGUUAUUCGGAAUUACUGGGUGUAAAGGGUAUGUAGGCGGCCUCACAAGUCGCGUGUCAAAGUCCAGCGCUCAACGCUGGGUUCGCACGCGAUACUGUAUGGCUUGAGGACUGGAGAGGUGAGCGGAAUUCCCGGUGUAGUGGUAAAAUACGUAGAUAUCGGGAGGAACACCAGCGGCGUAAGCGGCUCACUAGACAG